rnacentral:rRNA from 1 species
AACCUGCCCAAGAGAUCGGGAUAACACCCGGAAACAGAUGCUAAUACCGGAUAACAACAGAUGAUGCCUAUCAACUGUUUAAAAGAUGGUUCUGCUAUCACUCUUGGAUGGACCUGCGGUGCAUUAGCUAGUUGGUAGGGUAACGGCCUACCAAGGCGAUGAUGCAUAGCCGAGUUGAGAGACUGAUCGGCCACAUUGGGACUGAGACACGGCCCAAACUCCUACGGGAGGCAGCAGGC